CUACGGGCCGCUGCAGUGAGGAAUAUUGCACAAUGGAGGAAACUCUGAUGCAGCAACGCCGCGUGGAGGAUGACGCAUUUCGGUGUGUAAACUCCUUUUAUGAGUCAAGAAAAUGACGGUAGCUCAUGAAUAAGCACCGGCUAACUCCGUGCCAGCAGCCGCGGUAAUACGGAGGGUGCAAGCGUUACUCGGAAUCACUGGGCGUAAAGGACGCGUAGGCGGGAUAUCAAGUCAUGUGUGAAAUCCUGCAGCUUAACUGUAGAACUGCACUUGAAACUGGUAACCUAGAGUAUGGGAGGGGGAGAUGGAAUUAGUGGUGUAGGGGUAAAAUCCGUAGAUAUCACUAGGAAUACCUAAAGCGAAGGCGAUCUCCUGGAACAUAACUGACGCUAAGGCGUGAAAGCGUGGGGAGCAAACAGGAUUAGAUACCCCGGUAGUC
rnacentral:rRNA from 1 species